rnacentral:lncRNA from 1 species
CCGGUUGAGGCAACGGUAACCUGUCAUGCAUUAAAUGCUCCAACGGCUAGUGAACCGGUCGAUCCCUAGCUCGACCGAACGAGUUUGCCUUUUGCUGAUUUUGACUCCCAAGCUUAGAAACCUAUAAAUUGAGAGCUCCACUUCAUUUAUUGACAAGAGAACACUUGCAUUCAAAGCCCACCUACCUGUUCUUGAUCAAAAAGCUCUCAUUUCUUUCAUAAGUGCAUUAAAUCACCACUUGCAUAUCCUUUAGUGCACUCUUGUUGUCAUCCUAGCUUUGCCUUGUAUUUGAGUCAUCUUUAAGCUAGGUUGAGUGAGUAUAUUUUGUAACAAUCUGAGUGUUAAAGCCUUUAAGAGGGUUGAAUCU